rnacentral:rRNA from 1 species
GCUCUAACAUGCAGUGACGAUGAACCACUUCGGUGGGGAUUAGUGGCGAACGGGUGAGUAACACGUGGGCAAUCUGCCCUGCACUCUGGGACAAGCCCUGGAAACGGGGUCUAAUACCGGAUACUGACCCGCCUGGGCAUCCAGGCGGUUCGAAAGCUCCGGCGGUGCAGGAUGAGCCCGCGGCCUAUCAGCUUGUUGGUGAGGUAACGGCUCACCAAGGCGACGACGGGUAGCCGGCCUGAGAGGGCGACCGGCCACACUGGGACUGAGACACGGCCCAGACUCCUACGGAAGGCAGCAGACUNNU